AAUGAACGCUGGCGGCAUGCCUAACACAUGCCAGUCGAACGAAGGCUUCGGCCUUAGUGGCGCACGGGUGCGUAACGCGUGGGAAUCUGCCCCUUGGUUCGGAAUAACAGUUAGAAAUGACUGCUAAUACCGGAUGAUGACGUAAGUCCAAAGAUUUAUCGCCGAGGGAUGAGCCCGCGUAGGAUUAGCUAGUUGGUGUGGUAAGAGCGCACCAAGGCGACGAUCCUUAGCUGGUCUGAGAGGAUGAUCAGCCACACUGGGACUGAGACACGGCCCAGACUCCUACGGGAGGCAGCAGUGGGGAAUAUUGGACAAUGGGCGAAAGCCUGAUCCAGCAAUGCCGCGUGAGUGAUGAAGGCCUUAGGGUUGUAAAGCUCUUUUACCCGGGAUGAUAAUGACAGUACCGGGAGAAUAAGCUCCGGCUAACUCCGUG
rnacentral:rRNA from 1 species